rnacentral:misc_RNA from 1 species
UUCUCUUCCUUUUUCUUUGAUCCAUCAAGAGCUGGAUGUCCUCUUCAGAGCCAGAGUUGUGAAGCAGAGAGGAACCUGAUGAAUUUCCACUGGAGGAUGGCAUAUAGAGAUAUAUACUAUAUAUAAUUAUAUAUUUACACCAAAAUUACGGCUAAUAAUCUCUAUAAAACUGAGAUCUUGAUCUUACCUUAAUGACUUGAAAUUUGACGCAGGACCCAGGAGCUAAUAUAAAUUUGAUGGGUAAUCAAUAUAGCUAUAUAUAUGCAACUAAUAUACUAUAUUAGAUACAGGCAGAGAGAACAAGUUAUUAUUGAAAACACAUAGAACCAAUAAAGGAAAACAACAGAGAAAGAUUGAACAAGAUGGGUCCUGCG